GUGUGUGUGUGUGACUUGUGUGUGUGUGACGUGUGUGUGUGUGUGACGUGUGUCUGUGUGUACGUGUGUGUCUGUGUGUACGUGUGUGUCUGUGUUUCCUACCGUGUAGCGCGGUAAAGUUGAGUGGCGAGCGCGCUCGCUCGUGUGUGACUGAGACUGAGAAGAAACAAUAAUCUGUUCAAGUUUGCUUAUUUGACUUCAGGACUUGGAUGCUCAGACAUCGCACUCCUGGAAUGCUGGAAGGAGGAGCUGCAGUGCUGACCGCUAGUUUACACAAGAUUGCAGUGUGCUAGAUGCCCAGAAGUCCCUGCUGAGUCUUGAGAUGUGUAUGGACAGUAAUCCUGCAACUUGUUUGACCUGUCUCUAACCUCAAGGCCCUGGACUAUCAUGAUGGUUCAGAGGUAAAGGUGUUUGUCUUGCUGGGUGGUGGCGGCACACACCUUUAGUCCAGCACUCAGGAGGCAGAGGAAGGCAGAUCUUUGUGAGUUCGAGGCCAGCCUGGUCUACAGAUCGAGUUCCAGGACAGGUUCCAAAGCUACAGAGAAAAAAAAACUGUCUCGAAAAACCAAAACACAACAACAACAAAAAAAGUGUUUUGUCUUGUAAGCCUGGUUGUGUGAAUUCGAUGUCCAGAAUCCAUAUAAAGGCAAGUGGAGGCCAAAGAAGAAGCACAGUUCAUCCCUGGGGGCUCAAGCUACAGUAAACUUACCCAGUGUGGCCUGACUAGUUUUCUUAUGAAUGAGAUAAUCAGAAACUUGUUUAGCUUGAAACAGUGCAAAUAACUUGUAACAAAGGCAGGAGGAAGAGAGUUGAUGAAUCUUUGUUCUGGAAUGGGCAUGGUAUCAUAAUGUUAUAGCAAAUA